AGCCGCCGCGCCGCCCGGUGGGCACUGGGCUAAAGGGGGCACACGCGGGGACAGCCCCCCGACAGGACCCCUCGCUCCCUUCGGAUGUGAAGGAGGAGGAGGAUGGAGUGUCAGCGGCAUGGCAGCGAUUCCCCAGGAAUGAUUGAAGUGUAAAAAGUGCGAUUAAAAUCAGUGGGAGCUGUGUAGAAGCAGGAAGGGACAUACAGAAAUGGACAGUCCUGGUGGCGGUGCUGGCGGAAGGGAGCUCCGCACGGGCUCCGGGACAGGAGCUCGCAGGAAUCGCGCUGGCCCGUGCCAUCGGGCACAGACGCUGAGGUGAGGCUGGAGAGAAGCCUCAAGCAUGUGCACCUGAAACUUAGACACUUUAAAGACAUGAAAAUAUUACGAUUUUCAGGCAAAGUAAUGGCAGAGUGAAUUGCUGAAGAGUAAACAGCGGCAGGAGGUAAGCUGCCUGCCCAGGAUGGUGAAUUUCCAUUGAAACUGGCAAAGAGACCUUGCUUGGAGCUGAUCAACCAAAUGAUCUUGUUGUGGGCAGCUCAGGGUCAGCAGCGAGAGGAAAGGUGUUUAAUUUUGUGGCAUAAGGGACGGAAAUGAUUUGUAGUGCUGCUGGGGCUGGGGGGGGGUGUUGUACUCUUUUUCCUUCGUUUAUAGUAGUGCCCAGAGAUUGAUUUUUAGAGAAAGAAAACUGAGUUUACUUCUCAAAGUGUCAAAGCCUGAGAUAAUUGUAUCAGAGAAGUUCAUGGAGUAUUAGGAGCAAGCAGUUUAUCCAUGACACUGUUUGCUUUUUUUUGGUAAUGUAUAAGUAAAUAAAUAGAAAAAAAAUCAGGAUUUAAUUGUAUUAAAUCGUGUCUGUCCCAGACACUCAAAGCACUGAUGUUAACAUUUACACAAAACUGCAACAAAAAUAUUCAAUGUUAUAUAGUACUGCAACAAAAAAUACAAUGUUACAUAGGUUCGGCAACCAAACAUGAGCCAGUGUGCCCAGCCGCACAGCGCUCGGGAGGAUUGCCUGGUGUUUUAAUCACACUUCUGUUUCUUUUCAACAUGAUGUACAGUGUGCAAUUCAGAAAAAAACAGGUAAUUUCUGGUUUGGUUUUGUAGAAGCAGAUCAGGUGUUUUCAUGUUUCCCUUCUGACAUGAGUUCCCAAAUAUCUAAAAUAAAUAUUUUUCAUGGGUUAUCCCUGCA